GCUUUACAGAGGAGGGUAGAUAUGAUACACCCGAACUCUGGAGGGAUGGAUGCAAAGGUUCUUGACUCAAGCACUGGGAUUUGGAUUCAGAGGGACCAAGGCAGAGUGGCUCUGAAGAUAUAUGAGCCUGCUCUAGACUACACCCUGACCCAGAAGACUGAUGUCAGGAACAUAACAGAUGGUGUAACCAGAAGGACCUUCAGGGUAGACAUCACAGCACUUCUGUGCCCUGGCUUCCAUCACUGCACUGGGUGGCUGUGAGGGAGCCACUCACUGGGAAGACUGGAGACAUGUGAACUCCAUGUCCUGCUUUUGUAACCUUCUUAGAAACUUGUAACCACUUUGAGGUACAUGAAACUUUAGCGUGAGGAGGAACCCAUGGCAGAAGUACUUGGGGUACAUGAAAGCCACCUUCCUGGGGAGCUUGAAGGUGAUUCAGGCAUCAAAUGGUUCCUGACAACUCAGAUCUUUGGCAGGGAUAUGAGUGAGGCAGGACAAGUGGUAAAAGGCAAUUCAUAGAAUCUUUACCCGGAAAGCCUAAGGCAUCAGUGAACGAAAGUGAUUUCUAACCUUGUGAAAUACAGAUUCCCUGUUCUAACCUUAUGGUUCAACAGUUCCCUGUUUGAGCCACACUGGCUGUCAGGAGGCUUUGUGGAAUUGGCCCACAUGCAAUCAGGAACAGCAGCAAGAUUGGUCCUUCCAAGGAACCUCAGGAGACUCUGGCUGACCCAGGUUCUACCACAGGGUCUCUAAACGACCACAGGACAGAAAAGCCUCCAGAACUGAGAUGCCUUCUCCUGCCUGCACUUCGGGAUAAAAGCUGUACAUUGCUUCCUUACAGGGGAGAUGACUCCAUCCAUGCCCAGGGGAACAUACCACCCACACUGAUAACAAAAACAGCCCUGAUGAAGUCAAACCCAUCAGAAUUUGAUAACAUCCAGUCACAAAUCUGCCCUGCUAGCCUUCUCAAACCACAGGUCCUGCAAACCAGACCCCAAGAAGGCCUACUGGGUAUGUUUUCAGCAACAUUAUCCACAGGCCGGUUACCUUCCUUAGUGUAUUGCUACUGUUCUAUUGCUGUGAAGAGACUAUGACCAAAGCAACCUAUAGAAGAAAGCAUUUAAUUGAGGGCUUGCUUACAGUUUCAGAGGGUUAGUCCAGGAUCACCAUGGUGGAGAGCAGGCAGACAUGGUACUGGAGCAGUUAGCUGAGAGCUUUACAUCAUGCAGCAGGGAGAGAUAAAGAGAAAGAGAGAGACUGGGUCUAUUCAGAACUUUGAAACCUCAAAGUCCACUCCCACUGACAUGUCUCCUCCCACAAAGCCACACCUUCUAAUCCUUCCCAAACAGUUUUGCUAACUGAGGAUCAAGCAUUCAAAUACAUGAGCCUAUAGGGGGGCCACUCUCAUUCAAACCACCACAUUUAGUAACCAAAAACCACCAGGUCUUGCCCAUGGCAGAAGUGUCUCCAAGCAAUAGAUGAUAUGGGUAGAAAAUAAGCCUGUCAGACAAGGUAAACAUAGACCUUUGCACCAUAGACCCAAGUUCCAAAGGGCUUGCUGACAGGGCCACCCUUAGCCACACUGACGGGAAGGUCUCCCUGCCUCCUUCUAUGGGUGCUUGCUGUAUUGCUGUUCUAGAGUAAGGGCUUCACCGCCUGCUCUUACAAUCACAAUAUGGAUUAUAAUCCUGAAAUUUUAUACUUUAACUGUGUGUGUGCAAAUGAGCUCAUGCAUGUUUCACUCUUGUGUGCACACAAGUGUGGAGGACAGAGGACAGCCUUGGCCUUGGAUGUUGUUCCUCAGGUGCUGUCCACCUUUUUUUUUUUUUUCCUCUUGACAGUCUUUCACUGACCUGAACUCCUAGAAAGCUAGGCUGGCUAGUCAACUGGCCCCGGGGUCUACCUGGCCUCCCCAGCACUGGGAUUACAAACACGUGCCACCACACCCAGCUUUUUCUGCAUAGAUUCUGGGAGAUCAAACCCAGGCCCUCAUGCCCCAAGGGAAGCAGACUCUUCCCUGAAUGAGCUAUACCAAUACCACUGCAACUUUUACAGACCACUACUAAGUAUCAUCCAGCCUUGCUACAUCCAGCCACUCCCAGUCCGGGAUGGAGUACAGCAGGAGCCAGGCUGACCCACAGCCAAGGUGAGCUCUAAGACUCCCCUACUGCAUAACCAAACCUGCCUUUGGUGCCAGUCUAGAGCCCAGCAUCUC
rnacentral:lncRNA from 1 species